UACGUAGGGUGCGAGCGUUGUCCGGAAUUACUGGGCGUAAAGAGCUCGUAGGUGGUUUGUCGCGUUGUUCGUGAAAUUCCCUGGCUUAACUGGGGGUGUGCGGGCGAUACGGGCAGACUGGAGUACUGCAGGGGAGACUGGAAUUCCUGGUGUAGCGGUGGAAUGCGCAGAUAUCAGGAGGAACACCGGUGGCGAAGGCGGGUCUCUGGGCAGUAACUGACGCUGAGGCACGAAAGCGUGGGAGCAAACAGG
rnacentral:rRNA from 1 species